AAGAAACAUAGAGAGGAGCCAGAAAGGGGUGUAUUUUGGUGACCUGACCUAAUUUUUCUGUGGAAGCUCAGAUCUAAAUGAAGAGUUAGUAUUGGCCAGGCAAAUGGCUCAAUGUUCUGGACACAAGCAAGGGCAUGCCCAGAGCCCAGCGGUAGGAGAGGAUAGGGCUUGGCACGUUGGAGGAUGACCAGGGGGCCGGUCCGGUGGGAUGUGGAGUGGGUGGAAGGGAGGCUGGAGGAGGUGGCACUAAAUUGGGGCUAACAGCGAUGGGCGAUUAUCAGAGAUUUUUAAGAAGGUAAAUGCUCUAAUAACAUUGACUUUUUUAAAACAGUUUGCCCCACUGUGUUUUAUUUACAGAGGUAUAAUUUGCAGUGAAGUGCACAAAUCGGUGAAAUUUUACGUAUGCAACCUUUAUCACUCACCACCCAAACCAGAGUGGUGUCUUCCCAACACCCCAGGGCCUCUAGUCCUUUUCCAGCGUUGCCUGAAGACACAAACUACUGAUGGCUGCAUCCACAUGACUGACUUCAAACACAGCACGCUGCACGAGAAAAGCCGGAUACGCGCGUGGAAAGUGGGUGGCUCCACCACCCUGCUGUUCAGCUUUAUCUGCUCUGAAGAACCGAGUAUAACUUCUAAAUUGGUAUGUAUAAAUUAUUUCAUAAUCAGAAAAUGUCUAGUUUUCUAAGACAGUGUCUAGCCAAAACAAUGCAGUUAUAUAUUAUAAAAACUUGAUAAAAAUGUACUUCUCACUCCCUCUGGCAUUCUAUCCCAGAGCUGGAUAAUGUUUUGGGCCUCUGUGACCCAUGUAAAUAAUUGAAAUGGCAAGUGAACAUCCACUCAUCCAUAUUUAUUGUUUUUUCUUUUUUCUUUUUUCCAAACUAACCCGGCAGUGCAACAGGCUUUGCUGCCUUUGGAGCUGAAGUAAGCGAUCUCUUCAUUAUAUAUUCAGGGACACAAAGAAGGCCGCAAGUCACUUUUUAGGAAAUGCGAGUACACUACUGGGUUCCUUUAGAGAAAUUAAGAGCAAGGUGAACGAUGGGUCAGCCGGGGUGAUCCUGAUCCGGGCUGUGGCAAGAACCCAGCAGGAGACAGUUGAUUGCGCUCUCCAGCUCUCCGGUGCUCUCCAGGCCUCGGCACAAUCUCCAGCGUUCCAGGCUUUGUCUUUCAGGAGCUGGACAGAGGUCCUCUGUAGAAAAACAACAUUCAGUCCUCCCAGGAGACAGCCUCUUCCCUUUUAGUUUCACGCUCCAAGCAGGCAGAGAGAACCAUAAACUUUUCCUUCCACAAAAGUAAUGAAACACGUGAGUGCGUAUUUAUCAGCUCCAUUUUAUUUUUGUGAAAACCUUGUCUUGUUACAUUUCAUAAAAUUUAGAAGUGCAGGAAGUGUUGGACAUUCUCUUGUUUGUUCCCCGACUUUGAUGUUCGGAAGUCAGAGAUCAAGAUGUGCUUGUCCGCAGGUGGCCAGUUAGCAGAUGGCCCCGGGCCCUGGUCUCCUACCUCCUGGUUAAACUAUCCUCCUACCUGGGGGCUUUGUUCAGCUCUGCUUCAUUUAGUGAAACGCUGACGUUGUAAGCCUGCUGUGGAGUGUGUGUUUAGGCAAAUAGGAGCUGUGCUGUCUGCACCAGGCCCAACGCCAUGUGGGUAAAGAAAGGGACCCGGUAUUAGGGAGGGAACUCCUGAAGUCUUUGUGCUCCACCAUCUUUUGAGUGAUUUUUCAGGGAAAGGCUGGGAGUAGUGGGGGGGGGACAAACGGGGAACUCUGCUGGUGACUUCAUGCUGUGUGGCCUGGGCUCGGAGUCCUGCCCUGGCAGCUGCAUUCUUUGUGGUGGAGUCUGCCUUA
ensembl:lincRNA